CUCAGAUGUGACUCACUUUAUUUUCUGCAGAAUAUUAUCGUGGUUUUGAAGUAUUGCUCGAGGAUUACCUUAAAGAGACUUGCAGAGCGGUUAUGCCUCAGUAUCCAGGAAGCUGAGAAGCAUCUCUUCUUAGUGUUUGUUUCCAAGGACCUGGUGGCGAUGGCAAAGAUAGACUGGCCAAUGAGAAUUGUCAGUUUGGAAACGGCAAUGGACAGCAAUGAGAUUUUGAGCUCAGGCGACAAAUUUGGAAAAGCUGCCUGACCUUGUUGAGAAAAAGCUGCCACUAGAUCCCCAAGGAAACCAUGUUUCAUAAGGUUGCUUUGAGUGCUUGAAGAUGUUUUUAGCUGAAUGAAUGAUCUCUCUCCCUAAGGCCUCCCUCCCCUCUCUCUCUCUCACUGAAGAAUGCUGUUUCACAUUGUGGUGGGGACUGGAGAUAUUGAUCAUAGAACUCUCACGUAGCUGUCUUAAAUUUUGAUUGCAUAUUUUGCGGGGGGACCAGAUCCUGGCCUUGUUUUGGACGGAAAUGAUAUAUUGAAUGCACUUUCUGUAUAGGAAUGGAGUUUGGUCUUUUCCUCUUUCCUCUUUGCCCCUCCUUUUAAUUGAAAAUGUGUGGGCUUUUAGGGUCCAGAACUUGUACCAAUGGGACAGGUGUCAGCACAAGAUGUCACUCAUUUGGAUUGUAAUAAGCGCCUUGUUACA